rnacentral:lncRNA from 1 species
CCAUGACCAGGGCCCUUCACUAUAGGGAGCAGGGUACCAUGACCAGGGCCCUUCACUAUAGGGAGCAGGGCGCCAGUUGGAACACGUUCAUGUUUAACCUCAGUGGAAUGUAUCACAGAAAUAAAAUGUCACGUCAAACCAAACGCAAAUAUGAUUGUGUUAAUGAAGACAUGGAGUCUGUAAUGAAUAUCUUCAGGGAGGGAAUCUGCACAGACAUGCACAGAGGGAGUAAUAGGAAUGACAAGAAAGAGAGGAACGGAAGCAUAGAGGCACACAGAGAGAGGGAGAGAGAGAGAGGGGGAAGAGAAAGAGAGAAGCUGAGGCAUGCACAUACAGAGAGAAAGAGAAGAGCUAGAGAAAGAGAGAGGGGGGCAGAGAGAGAGAGAGAGAGAAAGAGAGAGGGGGAGAGAGAGAUGAAGAGUGAAGCUGAGGCAUGCACAUACAGAGAGAGAGAGAGAGAGAGAGAGAGAGAGAAUCUCUCUGUAGGCUCAAAAAACCUCAGAAAACCUCAGCCUACGCCUUCACUACGGCGUGGGUGUGACAGACCGUAACCAUGGUACCCAAGCAAGGCAUGAUGCUGCUGCUGCUGCUCCUGGUCGUCACCACGGCAGCGGUGAUGGGACAGAGGCGUGAGCGUCGCCCGGAAACCACAGACGAAUGGAACUACAGGGCUGGCUCGGAGAAGGUAAACAUGCGUGGGGUGUCCAACCUCACCCAGGUUCUGGACAACUGGAGGUUUGACAUCCUCACUCAGAUGAAGACACUGCUCCAGAACGACCACCAGUCACUACUGCCAGACUACGCCAGGAUCCAGCCCCUAUCUGAGGCUCUGGAUGAUCUUUACAAGGAGUUCAACUCUCUCAAGGCUCACCUUGGUGAACUCACAGAGAAAUUCGUCGCCAUAGAAACCUUCAUCGACGAGGUCAAGACUGAGCGGGCCAAUGGUGGCACCUUGGCCCCCGCCUCCAACCCAAACCCCGUCUCCAACCCAGUACCAGCUAGGAGGAGAGUGGUCAAAAAGAAAGCUCCCGCCUCUUAAAUGACUAAAACUCCACGCCAUCCCACUGACCCCACCCAACUCAUCCUACCCACCCCACCCUACUUUGCCCCACCCCACCCCAUCCCACUGCACAAACCCUACUCCAUCCCACCCUAUCCCUGCAGCCUUAUUUUACUGCUUUAUAGAGUUAAAGUUCUUUGGUAUUAUUAUUAUUUGUAACUUUAUAAACAGUUUAGCCCGCUGCGCUGACAUUCUGGGGAUUCAUUCUCAAUUCUGUAUGUAAGGUUAGUAGGCAUUUAUCAGACAAAACCAUUCUGAUAGUGAAAUACAUUUAAAAAAUACAUUUUAAACUCACCUGACUGUAGAGAAAGAGGGAGGGAGAGAGAGAGAGAGAGAGAGAGAGAGAGAGAGAGAGAGAGAGAGAGAGAGAGAGAGAAAGAUCGAGAAAGAUCCACCAUUGUGGUCUCACAAUGGUGAAUCGAAUGAAAUAAGCUUCAAAUAAAACCUAAUUAUUCUGUAUACAUUUAUGAAGAUAAAUAAAUAUGUUGUUUCUUUGCAUCAAUUCAAUGUCUACAUCCUCCCUAACAAGGCCUGGCUCUACACAUCCUAGUACAGUCUGUCUCUACACAUCCUAGUACAGUCUGUCUCUACACAUCCUAGUACAGUCUGUCUCUACACAUCCUAGUACAGUCUGUCUCUACACAUCCUAGUACAGUCUGUCUCUAUACAUCCUAGUGCAGUCUGGCUCUACACAUCCUAGUACAGUCUGUCUCUACACAUCCUAGUACAGUCUGUCUCUAUACAUCCUAGUGCAGUCUGUCUCUACACAUCCUAGUACAGUCUGUCUCUACACAUCCUAGUACAGUCUGUCUCUAC